rnacentral:rRNA from 1 species
ACAGGGAGCUUGCUCCUGGGUGACGAGCGGCGGACGGGUGAGUAAUGUCUGGGGAACUGCCCGAUGGAGGGGGAUAACUACUGGAAACGGUAGCUAAUACCGCAUAACGUCGCAAGACCAAAGAGGGGGACCUUCGGGCCUCUUGCCAUCGGAUGUGCCCAGAUGGGAUUAGCUAGUAGGUGGGGUAACGGCUCACCUAGGCGACGAUCCCUAGCUGGUCUGAGAGGAUGACCAGCCACACUGGAACUGAGACACGGUCCAGACUCCUACGGGAGGCAGCAGUGGGGAAUAUUGCACAAUGGGCGCAAGCCUGAUGCAGCCAUGCCGCGUGUAUGAAGAAGGCCUUCGGGUUGUAAAGUACUUUCAGCGAGGAGGAAGGCAUUGUGGUUAAUAACCACAGUGAUUGACGUUACUCGCAGAAGAAGCACCGGCUAACUCCGUGCCAGCAGCCGCGGUAAUACGGAGGGUGCAAGCGUUAAUCGGAAUUACUGGGCGUAAAGCGCACGCAGGCGGUCUGUCAAGUCGGAUGUGAAAUCCCCGGGCUCAACCUGGGAACUGCAUUCGAAACUGGCAGGCUAGAGUCUUGUAGAGGGGGGUAGAAUUCCAGGUGUAGCGGUGAAAUGCGUAGAGAUCUGGAGGAAUACCGGUGGCGAAGGCGGCCCCCUGGACAAAGACUGACGCUCAGGUGCGAAAGCGUGGGGAGCAAACAGGAUUAGAUACCCUGAGUAGUCCACGCCGUAAACGAUGUCGACUUGGAGGUUGUGCCCUUGAGGCGUGGCUUCCGGAGC